GCGGCAGGCCUAACACAUGCAAGUCGAACGGUAGCACAGAGGAGCUUGCUCCUUGGGUGACGAGUGGCGGACGGGUGAGUAAUGUCUGGGAAACUGCCCGAUGGAGGGGGAUAACUACUGGAAACGGUAGCUAAUACCGCAUAACGUCGCAAGACCAAAGAGGGGGACCUUCGGGCCUCUUGCCAUCGGAUGUGCCCAGAUGGGAUUAGCUAGUAGGUGGGGUAACGGCUCACCUAGGCGACGAUCCCUAGCUGGUCUGAGAGGAUGACCAGCCACACUGGAACUGAGACACGGUCCAGACUCCUACGGGAGGCAGCAGUGGGGAAUAUUGCACAAUGGGCGCAAGCCUGAUGCAGCCAUGCCGCGUGUAUGAAGAAGGCCUUCGGGUUGUAAAGUACUUUCAGCGAGGAGGAAGGUGUUGUGGUUAAUAACCGCAGCAAUUGACGUUACUCGCAGAAGAAGCACCGGCUAACUCCGUGCCAGCAGCCGCGGUAAUACGAAGGGUGCAAGCGUUAAUCGGAAUUACUGGGCGUAAAGCGCACGCAGGCGGUCUGUCAAGUCGGAUGUGAAAUCCCCGGGCUCAACCUGGGAACUGCAUCCGAAACUGGCAGGCUAGAGUCUUGUAGAGGGGGGUAGAAUUCCAGGUGUAGCGGUGAAAUGCGUAGAGAUCUGGAGGAAUACCGGUGGCGAAGGCGGCCCCCUGGACAAAGACUGACGCUCAGGUGCGAAAGCGUGGGGAGCAAACAGGAUUAGAUACCCUGGUAGUCCACGCCGUAAACGAUGUCGACUUGGAGGUUGUGCCCUUGAGGCGUGGCUUCCGGAGCUAACGCGUUAAGUCGACCGCCUGGGGAAUACGGCCGCAAGGUUAAAACUCAAAUGAAUUGACGGGGGCCCGCACAAGCGGUGGAGCAUGUGGUUUAAUUCGAUGCAACGCGAAGAACCUUACCUACUCUUGACAUCCACGGAAUUUAGCAGAGAUGCUUUAGUGCCUUCGGGAACCGUGAGACAGGUGCUGCAUGGCUGUCGUCAGCUCGUGUUGUGAAAUGUUGGGUUAAGUCCCGCAACGAGCGCAACCCUUAUCCUUUGUUGCCAGCGGUUAGGCCGGGAACUCAAAGGAGACUGCCAGUGAUAAACUGGAGGAAGGUGGGGAUGACGUCAAGUCAUCAUGGCCCUUACGAGUAGGGCUACACACGUGCUACAAUGGCAUAUACAAAGAGAAGCGACCUCGCGAGAGCAAGCGGACCUCAUAAAGUAUGUCGUAGUCCGGAUUGGAGUCUGCAACUCGACUCCAUGAAGUCGGAAUCGCUAGUAAUCGUGGAUCAGAAUGCCACGGUGAAUACGUUCCCGGGCCUUGUACACACCGCCCGUCACACCAUGGGAGUGGGUUGCAAAAGAAGUAGGUAGCUUAACCUUCGGGAGGGCGCUUACCACUUCGUGAUUCAUGACUGG
rnacentral:rRNA from 1 species